rnacentral:rRNA from 1 species
UCUGGCUCUUUCAGAGUCCGAGUUGUAAUUUGAAGAAGGUAUCUUUGGGUCUGGCUCUUGUCUAUGUUUCUUGGAACAGAACGUCACAGAGGGUGAGAAUCCCGUGCGAUGAGAUGAUCCAGGCCUAUGUAAAGUUCCUUCGAAGAGUCGAGUUGUUUGGGAAUGCAGCUCUAAGUGGGUGGUAAAUUCCAUCUAAAGCUAAAUAUUGGCGAGAGACCGAUAGCGAACAAGUACAGUGAUGGAAAGAUGAAAAGAACUUUGAAAAGAGAGUGAAAAAGUACGUGAAAUUGUUGAAAGGGAAGGGCUUGAGAUCAGACUUGGUAUUUUGUAUGUUACUUCUUCGGGGGUGGCCUCUACAGUUUAUCGGGCCAGCAUCAGUUUGGGCGGUAGGAGAAUUGCGUUGGAAUGUGGCACGGCUUCGGUUGUGUGUUAUAGCCUUCGUCGAUACUGCCAGCCUAGACUGAGGACUGCGGUUUAUACCUAGGAUG